rnacentral:rRNA from 1 species
AGUCGAGGGGUAACAGGGGUUGCUUGCAACCCGCUGACGACCGGCGCACGGGUGCGUAACGCGUAUGCAACCUACCUUCUACAGGGGGAUAGUCAAUAGAAAUGUUGAAUAAUACCCCAUACGAUCAUGAAUUGGCAUCAAUUUAUGAGGAAAGUUCCGGCGGUAGAAGAUGGGCAUGCGUCCUAUUAGUUAGUUGGUGAGGUAACGGCUCACCAAGACAUCGAUAGGUAGGGGUCCUGAGAGGGAGAUCCCCCACACUGGUACUGAGACACGGACCAGACUCCUACGGGAGGCAGCAGUGAGGAAUAUUGGACAAUGGAGGCAACUCUGAUCCAGCCAUGCCGCGUGCAGGAAGACGGCCCUAUGGGUUGUAAACUGCUUUUAUACAGGAAGAAACGCCUCCUCGUGAGGGGGUUUGACGGUACUGUACGAAUAAGGAUCGGCUAACUCCGUGCCAGCAGCCGCGGUAAUACGGAGGAUCCAAGCGUUAUCCGGAAUCAUUGGGUUUAAAGGGUCCGUAGGCGGUUUAAUAAGUCAGAGGUGAAAUCCUACAGCUCAACUGUAGAAUUGCCUUUGAUACUGUUAGACUUGAGUUAUUGUGAAGUAGUUAGAAUGUGUAGUGUAGCGGUGAAAUGCAUAGAUAUUACACAGAAUACCGAUUGCGAAAGCAGAUUACUAACAAUACACUGACGCUGAGGGACGAAAGCGUGGGUAGCGAACAGGAUUAGAUACCCUGGUAGUCCACGCCGUAAACGAUGGAUACUAGCUGUUCGACCAACAUUGGGUUGGUUGAGUGGCUAAAGCGAAAAGUGAUAAGUAUCCCCCCCUGGGGAGUACGCCUCGCCAAGAGUGAAACUCAAA